CCAAGCGCGUGCCAUGCUAAAGUGCUUCGAGGAAAGUGCAAACAGCAGCUGAAAUGGAUAUGGAAAAAGCAAAUCGAAAACUGAUUUGGAGCGGAAGUUCGUUUGCACCUUUCUGCAGUUUCCUGUAUUUGCCGCCGCCGUCGCCGCCAGAACAAUAAACAUCCACAAUCCGCAGCUACAGCCACUUCCAUUCCAUGCCCACAAUCGCAAUCAGAAUCGCCGAGUGUUCUAUAUAAAGUGCCAUGACUUGUCUUGGCCUUUGACGCCGUCUUUUGUACUAAGAGAGUUGAGUUCAGAUGGAAUGGAGGUGGAGAUGCAGAUGGAAAUGGAGGUGAAGUCACCGCCCGUUGGCUUUUCAAUGAGCUGCAAAUCAAAAGCUAUACGCGAUUUCCCACAAAGCACCGAUUAAGGAUAUGCGUGUGCACUCAGAAAAACUUUGGAUAGGUUAUGAUAAUUACAAUAAUAUCAUAGGCAGUGGGAUUGAACUCUACUUUUUGAAUCUAUGUUAUAUCCAAAACCAGGAAAAACUAAAGAUUUAUGCAAGGACCAAGGAUCCCCGGCAGCUGCUCCUUGGGAACGCUGUAUUUGAUUUGCGAUUCAAGGCAGGCGGAAAUGGAAUGACACGCGAGGCACUCUUACUUUGUUUGACGAUUGGCAAAAAUGCUGCCUCCAUGGCCCGACAAAAAACAGAAGGAACAGAAGGACCAAGGAUCCGGCAGACCCGCCAGCCGUAAGAGACUUCCACUUGAGCCGCACGCAUUGUUUGCCCUGCGAACCGAAGGGGCGUGCUGGAAAUCGGAUAUAGGAUCGCUCAUUCGGGACAAUCAAAUAGCGCAGCGGAGUUUUCCAACCCACUGAGCAGCCGCAAUCGGCGGAGAAUCAGCUGCCUUGAACCUACAAGAAGACUCUAUGAUGUCGAUGAGGUGCCAACCCGAGCCACGCGUGUCCAGUGUCCUAUGGCCAAUGGUCAGUGCCCAAUGGCCAAAAUUGGACACUGGCCGUCUCAUUAGCGCACCAAAGGUUGGAGGGUUAAUGAUGCGCACCCCGUGCUUGGGCUUCCGUCCCCCACACCAAAGCCUCCGGGCAAUUAUGCGACGCACUUGAGCUUGAAGGGCCUCGAAGGUGAGGAGUACACUUGAAACAUCAAACAAAAACUAGUAUGGCACAUAAGCGAUUCCUAGGGGAAUGACGGUUACUUUAUCGUAUGGUAAACGACUUUGAGAUACUUAAAAUAAUGAAACUAGCGCAGCUUCCACGUAGUGUGAAUAAGCAGUAUGGAGCUAGAAUUCCUGCAAGCAUAACAUUUAAUUUUCGAAUAGGUAGUAAUCAAUUUAUGCUAGCAACUGAGAACAUUUCAGAGCAACCAUUUCAAUGGCUAAGCACUUCUUUGAGUGUACGCGUAGGAGGAAUGCAGUGGCCAUUCAUUGACCCCGGCUGUGUAGUAGCUCGGGUUUUAUGGUGUCGUCGUAAAUGUCAGGUGCGCACCCCAUUUAAAUUUAUUCAACGUAAUUAGUUGUCUUCCCCUAUAAAGUAUAAAGUGCCAGUAAGUCUGUAGUGUGUGCACAGCGAUGUACAGAGUGUCAGUGCACGAAUCUAAUUUGAUUGCCAACCGAAAACUACAAGUGUUAGGGGAUUACGAUGCAGUACUUCCGCUGUGGCCCGAAAAAUUCGAUUUCCCUUUGGAAGAUACAUUUUUGUGGCGCGGAUUAAGCGACACAUAAAACAUAUAAAUGGAACGCAACACACCUGCAGGUGGAAAAACAUGCAAAAAUGAUCGUUGCGAGAUAUGCGAACGGGACAUGACGCCGCAGGAUGCCAAACAGGCUGCCUCAGUCCGCUGGCGCUCCAGUUGGGCCACCAUUCUCGCCUCGCCUCGGUUAUCGGUGAAUUCCGUGACGAUGGCAAAAAUAUUGCAACGCAGCCAAAGGGGCAGAAAAGGGAUGGCAGCGGGCGGUGAGCAGUGGGCAGUGGGAAAAAAGGGGUCUGGGUCGUGGUCCAUUUCGUGUGCACGUCGUUAUCCUUGCUCCGGAUGCACAACAAUCAAAAUAAACGGCUGCCAAAUUGACCAUUGACCAAACAUCGUCAGCAGGGAACGGCGAGGAGGUGCCGGCGACCACUGCAGCAGGAUGUGUGGGCGGCAAAGGACCUCCGGGGGCAGGGGUGUGAAGUGAGGCACUGGAUAGCGACAUCAUCUUUGGCCCCGUCACGUCCACUUUCUGCUCAAUUCAGGAGCCAAGCAGCCAACUCGAAAUAAACAUGAAAUGCACUUGUUUUUGUGCAGCAGGAAAUGCGAUUAAAGGCUGUUAAAGCAAGGACAUGAAACAAACUAGAAGUAAAGCACUUAACCAGCUCACAGGUCAACUCCUCCUGCAGAAUGUAAUCAAAGUAGCGACAGAAAUCAAUUCAGGUGUGAAAUCAAACAGUGAAAUGAAAACUAAAGCAAUCGUAAUACGAGUGCUAUAUUGAUAUCGUUUAAGCCAGAAAUAUGUGUAAUGGGUCAUAAUUGAUACCCUAUAAGCCUAUAGUAGCUGCCGCUACAUAAUUAACCAGAAAUGUGCGCUCAUCCCGCGUCCCCACUCGAUUUACGAUAUUAUUGCAGAAUAAUGAAAUCGCCAAGAGAUUCCAAUUCAAUCUACGCGCCGCGUAGGCCAUUUAUGGAUUGGCAUUGAUUUAAUACCGCGUCGCGAGAGAUCGCCUCCAGGUUCGGUUCCCCCGAGUCCGAGGCGCAAGGCAUUUUGCACCUACUUCAGCCCCAAGACGUCCAACUCGCGCUCGCGGCUCCAAAGUCCGCAUCUGAUCUGAUUCCGCCGCCUAUCGCUCCCCGAGAUCAGCGGCGCAGACGCCACCUCGGCGGAGGCUGCAUCGGCGGGCAGGAGGGCAUCGCAGCACUCAGGGAAAAUGCACCUCAGAAGGUAGUGCACGUAAAGUUCCCAUUCAAAUAUAUUGUUGAAUAAUUGUAUGCAUAUUAAUAUGUUUUCUUUAAAUACUAGUGACUUUUGUAAUGAAUUCGGAUUCUGAAGCCGCAAUGGAAAUUAUUUAGCAGGCUCAGUUUCAUACAACUUUUUGUGCCCGCAAAUACUACUACUGCUUGCUCAUCCAGCACGACUGAAAGGAUUUUUUCUGAAUGCACUGCUCCAAUGUUUAUUCAAUAAACCCGAUCUGAGAUGCAACAACCAGGAGGAGAAGCGGCUGAACAGCAGCUGGCUGGCUGGCUGACUGGCUGGCAUUCCUGCGAGAAGCAACCGUUGAGCAGUUCUGCAGUUGGCCCAUUCAAGACAAGUCGCUGGAAUUUCUUGGUGCGUGCUCGGCACAGGCACAGUCUCAGUCACAGGUUGGGGCUCGGAAUCGGAUUCAGCUGGUCCAGCGUCUGCCAGCUGCGUCUCCUGAUUAUGAUAAUGGCAGUUGGACUGGACCGGAUCGGACUGGACUGGACCGGACAGGAACAGGGACAGGGAGCACACCGCAACACCAGGCGGCUGGGCCACGACGGACCGCUCAGCUCAUCCCACUGGCCAGUUGUGCGCAAUUGCUUUCGUUUAUGAUCGAAUGAUCGAAUGCCUGGCAGCUCCGUUGACUUUCUGAUUAAUGCAAGAAUGCUCCUUGGCGGCGUUCCCGCUUUUUGCCCGAUCCCACCACCACUGACUGCAAUUAAAAGUGGAUGCCCCUCGCUAAAAAUUGGAGAUAGGCAGGACUGAACAUCAACGCCAAAGACAAGUUAGACCCAACCAAGUUAGGCCCAGAUAAGAGCAUUCCCAGUUCGCCUUCGUACGUGGAGCCACAGAUUGAUUUGAUUCCUGACCGGCUGCCGUCGCCUGCUGUGCCGGCUGUGCCUGAUGUCCGUUGUCCGAUGGCUGGUCGAGAGCCAGGAGGAAUGGGAACCCAAGUGGCGGCCAGAUGCAGACCGAGCCGAGGAAGACAAACGACAGUCGCCAGCGCGCCUCGUGCCUCCAGUUGUCAUAACGUUCAACACAUCGCGCCCCUCGGUGGCGUCUUGCGUCUUCGCCGCAUCCACAUGCCCGACUUCUGUGCGCUGCCAUAAAAGGAUUUGUCACGUGCGAGCUUUUGUUGCAAAUGCAACAAUCAUCAGCCUGCAUUAUGCAUGGCGCAUUGCCAGGUUGGACAUCGCAUCGCGGCAUUCCUGGCCAGAUCCUCCUGCCUGUUGCCUCUGCCAGGUCCUGGUCCUGGCUUAUAUGCUCGCCGACCAGCAGAUCAUUGCAAUUUAUAAUUAAGUGGAAAUAUGUUGUCUACGAUGGCAACAAGGAUCUCAGAUUGCUGGCGCAGAUAUGAAUGCCUCGCAAAGUGGCGGGCUGCACAGGGAAACGGCAGGGAAACGGAUCCCUCAAUUGGAAUAACAAAUGCAUUAGCAGGCCAAACAAGGACCUAAUAAUGUCCUCGCCGAGGGAAUGCGAAUGGAAAUCCAUUGUGCAAAGAAUGGGCCGGGUCUCAUCCGCAAUUACCGUUAGACACACACACAAACAAGGCGCAACACUCGCACACACACAGAGGCAAAUGAGGACACGUUGGCCUGGCUAAUUCAUGACUUUAAGGACACUUUGGCAAACAAUCGAACGGUCAAGGCGAAGGAAUAUUCACUGUGCAAUUGAUUAUGCAUGAGUGUUUUGUCGUGUGCGGUUUGUGUGCGUGCCAAUCAACUGGGUAGAAUCAAUCAAAAUGCAAUAGGAUUGCCCUGCCAAUCAAAGGCAAAGCCGAGAAGAGAGUUAUCCCCGCUCGCAGAAGUCACCUCCGGUCCCCAGUUGCACAGCUUAAGUCCAAGGCAGUCCGAGCCGGGCCAGUAUUUUCGGACCACAUCAGGACAAAUAGCCAGCGCCCAGGUAACCAGGACAAACACUCAAAUGCCUGGCGAAGCGUGGCGAAGGAAGCAAACGAGACGUAGGCUUACAUACGGAAAAACUGUGGACUAACUUGGUCUACAAUCCGAUAUCCAUAGUACUUAAUAUACUUAUAAUUACUUAAAUCGUAAUGUAUAC